rnacentral:rRNA from 1 species
GACGAACGCUGGCGGCGUGCCUAAUACAUGCAAGUCGAGCGAACAGAUGAGGAGCUUUCUCCUCUGACUUUAGCGGCGGACGGGUGAGGAACACGUGGAUAGACUACCUAUUAGACUGGGAUAACUUCGGGGAACCGGGGCUAAUACCGGAUAAUAUGUUGAACCGCAUUGUUCAAGAGUGAAAGAAGGUCGUGCUGGCACUUAUAGAUGGAUCCGCGGCGCAUUAGCUAGUUGGUAAGGUGACGGCUUACCAAGGCAACGAUGCGUAGCCGACCUGAGAGGGUGAUCGGCCACACUGGAACUGAGACACGGUCCAGACUCCUACGGGAGGCAGCAGUAGGGAAUCUUCCGCAAUGGGCGAAAGCCUGACGGAGCAACGCCGCGUGAGUGAAGAAGGUCUUCGGAUCGUAAAACUCUGUUAUUAGGGAAGAACAAAUGUGUAAGUAACUAUGCACGUCUUGACGGUACCUAAUCAGAAAGCCACGGCUAACUACGUG